rnacentral:rRNA from 1 species
GAUGAACGCUGGCGGCGUGCCUAACACAUGCAAGUCGAGCGGACCAAUGCCCAUUUCAGCUUUGCUGAUUUGAGCAACGGUUAGCGGCGGACGGGUGAGUAACGCGUGGGCAACCUGCCCUGUGCAGGGGGAUAACACAGCGAAAGCUGUGCUAAUACCCCAUAAGACUACGCUACCGCAUGAUAGAGUAGUCAAAGCUUUAGCGGCACAGGAUGGGCCCGCGUCUGAUUAGCUAGUUGGUGGGGUAACGGCCUACCAAGGCGACGAUCAGUAGCCGACCUGAGAGGGUGAUCGGCCACACUGGAACUGAGACACGGUCCAGACUCCUACGGGAGGCAGCAGUGGGGAAUAUUGCACAAUGGGGGAAACCCUGAUGCAGCAACGCCGCGUGAGCGAAGAAGGCCUUCGGGUCGUAAAGCUCUGUCCUAAGGGAAGAAGUAUGACGGUACCUUAGGAGGAAGCCCCGGCUAACUACGUGCCAGCAGCCGCGGUAAUACGUAGGGGGCGAGCGUUAUCCGGAAUCACUGGGCGUAAAGGGUGCGUAGGCGGCCGAGUAAGCCAGAGGUGAAAGGCUACGGCUUAACCGUAGUAAGCCUUUGGAACUACUUGGCUUGAGUGCAGGAGAGGAGAGUGGAAUUCCUAGUGUAGCGGUGAAAUGCGUAGAUAUUAGGAGGAACACCAGUGGCGAAGGCGACUCUCUGGACUGUAACUGACGCUGAGCACGAAAGCGUGGGGAGCAAACAGGAUUAGAUACCCUGGUAGUCCACGCCGUAAACGAUGAGUGCUAGGUGUCGGGGGUUCACACCCUCGGUGCCGGAGUUAACGCAAUAAGCACUCCGCCUGGGGAGUA